GACGAACGCUGGCGGCGUGCUUAACACAUGCAAGUCGAGCGGUAAGGCCCUUUCGGGGGUACACGAGCGGCGAACGGGUGAGUAACACGUGGGUGACCUGCCCUCAGCUCUGGGAUAAGCCUGGGAAACCGGGUCUAAUACUGGAUAUGACUCCAUGACGCAUGUUGUGGGGUGGAAAGCCUUGUGCGGCUGAGGAUGGGCCCGCGGCCCAUCAGCUUGUUGGUGGGGUGAUGGCCUACCAAGGCGACGACGGGUAGCCGGCCUGAGAGGGCGACCGGCCACACUGGGACUGAGACACGGCCCAGGACUCCUACGGGAGGCAGCAGUGGGGAAUCUUGCGCAAUGGGCGAAAGCCUGACGCAGCGACGCCG
rnacentral:rRNA from 1 species